UCUUGCGGGUGCGGGCACCUCCAUGUUGCCUAGGGUGAUGGGCCCCAACACGGCGUACACAGCUGCCAGCCCAUGCUAUUCCAUGAGGUGGAAGAGUCAGCGUGAUCGCUUUGAUGCAGAUCUCUCCAAGGUUACUGCUUCACAGGAGAUGGUGCUUACAGGACCAAGAAAGGCUAUUACCGGAUGACGGGACGCACGGAUGAUGUCAUUAACGUCAGCGGGCACAGGCUCGGGACGGCAGAGAUAGAAGAUGCAAGGGUGGUGAAACAUCUUCCUAAAACCCGAUCAGAGAUCCUCAUGAGAAGGCUGCUGAGGAAGGUAGUCACUGAACAAUCAAACAACAUGGGAGAUGUCACCACACGUGAUGGUCCAAGUGUUGUCAAGGAGAUAUUGGAUGCUUAGCAGAAAUACAUGGAGAAGAGUUCCUCAUAGCAGAUGGCUCUGGAAUCUCUCUCCUCUGGAAAUGUGGAAGGUCUCAAAUAACCAGUCAAACGACAUAGUUCUCUCUUGGUGUUUUUUAAAAAUCUCUCUGUUCCCUGCUAGGGGAACAAGAUUUUCCGCUCCACAGCGUAUUUUGAGAUGCACAGAGCUAGGAGCAAUCUGCAGUUCUGCACAGUCAUGAUGACAACUGGAUCAGCUGUAGGAAUGGACUUCACCAUUUCCUUGGUCUUCAAGUUUUUUCUCUUUAUAAACCACCUGUGCAAACACUGCGCUGCCCAGGAGAGGGUGAGAGAAUGUGUGGAUGAUGCUAACGAGACCUGCAGUGAAAUAAAUGAGAUUCCUCUUUUUUCUUCCAGAGGACUUGCUUGGAACAUCUGUUUGAAAAGGGAAGGUGUUAGCAUUAUGUUCAGCCCGAGUCCUUCAUGAAUGCUGCUGAUCUCAAGUGGCUUAGUAUUUCUCCUGUGUUCAUAAACAAAUGCUUCCUGGCUAUUCUGCCUUGUUAACUUAGGUGGAGCGCAUGUGAGAGAAGGAGGAAUGUCUGGAGAAUGAAGCCAAGAUGAAUAUGUAUUUGUCUUCACUCAGAAACAUCCAAAAUGCUUUCUUGUUAGCCUGCUUGAAUAUGACACAGUAACAAAAGAACUGAAAGUCUGAAUGGUGGGGCUGAGGUUUCCCAAUGGUGUCCAGCUCUCUCCUGCAGAAGACUUUGUCCUGGUGCAGGAGACAACCACGGCUAGUAUCAGGAGGUGAGUAUGACUUAGCUGAAAUUAUUGGUACUCUCUGUUUAGAGAUUGUGUGAAUAAAUGAGUUGAAUGACAAAAGAAAUCCU